GACGUAGGGGGCAAGCGUUGUCCGGAAUCAUUGGGCGUAAAGAGCGUGUAGGCGGCCUGAUCAGUCUGCUGUGAAAGUCCAGGGCUUAACCCUGGAAUGCCGGUGGAUACUGUCAGGCUUGAGUCCGGAAGAGGCGAGUGGAACUCCUGGUGUAGCGGUGGAAUGCGCAGAUAUCAGGAAGAACACCAACGGCGAAGGCAGCUCGCUGGGACGGUACUGACGCUGAGACGCGAAAGCGUGGGGAGCAAACAGG
rnacentral:rRNA from 1 species